rfam:Stegodyphus mimosarum contig85745, whole genome shotgun sequence.
GCUUACGUGGUGUAGUGGACAGCACGCUUGGUGUGUAUUUGAGAGGCCCGUGGUUCGAGUCCCGGCGAGGGUA